rnacentral:rRNA from 1 species
UACGUAGGGUGCGAGCGUUGUCCGGAAUUAUUGGGCGUAAAGAGCUCGUAGGCGGUUUGUCGCGUCUGCCGUGAAAUUUCGAGGCUCAACCUCGAACUUGCGGUGGGUACGGGCAGACUAGAGUGUGGUAGGGGAGACUGGAAUUCCUGGUGUAGCGGUGAAAUGCGCAGAUAUCAGGAGGAACACCAAUGGCGAAGGCAGAUCUCUGGGCCGUAACUGACGCUGAGGAGCGAAAGCAUGGGGAGCGAACAGG